rnacentral:rRNA from 1 species
GGAAUAUUGGUCAAUGGGCGCAAGCCUGAACCAGCCAUGCCGCGUGGAGGAUGAAGGUCCUCUGGAUUGUAAACUUCUUUUAUUUGGGACGAAAAACGGGAAUUCUUUCUCACUUGACGGUACCAGAUGAAUAAGCACCGGCUAACUCCGUGCCAGCAGCCGCGGUAAUACGGAGGGUGCAAGCGUUAUCCGGAUUCACUGGGUUUAAAGGGUGCGUAGGCGGGCUGUUAAGUCAGUGGUGAAAUCUUUGGGCUUAACCCGAAAACUGCCAUUGAUACUAUCAGUCUUGAAUAUUGUGGAGGUCUGCGGAAUAUGUCAUGUAGCGGUGAAAUGCUUAGAUAUGACAUAGAACACCAAUUGCGAAGGCAGCAGGCUACGCAUAUAUUGACGCUGAGGCACGAAAGCGUGGGGAUCAAACA